UAUGUUUUGGUGUAUGAUGCACAAAAGAUUUUGAUUCUUUUAGUAAUAGUUUAAUUCUAUUAAAUAUAA
rnacentral:tRNA from 1 species